rnacentral:rRNA from 1 species
AGUCGACCCCUAAGGCGAGGCCGAAAGGCGUAGUCGAUGGGAAACAGGUUAAUAUUCCUGUACUUGGUGUUACUGCGAAGGGGGGACGGAGAAGGCUAUGUUGGCCGGGCGACGGUUGUCCCGGUUUAAGCGUGUAGGCUGGUUUUCCAGGCAAAUCCGGAAAAUCAAGGCUGAGGCGUGAUGACGAGGCACUACGGUGCUGAAGCAACAAAUGCCCUGCUUCCAGGAAAAGCCUCUAAGCAUCAGGUAACAUCAAAUCGUACCCCAAACCGACACAGGUGGUCAGGUAGAGAAUACCAAGGCGCUUGAGAGAACUCGGGUGAAGGAACUAGGCAAAAUGGUGCCGUAACUUCGGGAGAAGGCACGCUGAUAUGUAGGUGAAGUCCCUCGCGGAUGGAGCUGAAAUCAGUCGAAGAUACCAGCUGGCUGCAACUGUUUAUUAAAAACACAGCACUGUGCAAACACGAAAGUGGACGUAUACGGUGUGACGCCUGCCCGGUGCCGGAAGGUUAAUUGAUGGGGUCAGCGCAAGCGAAGCUCUUGAUCGAAGCCCCGGUAAACGGCGGCCGUAACUAUAACGGUCCUAAGGUAGCGAAAUUCCUUGUCGGGUAAGUUCCGACCUGCACGAAUGGCGUAAUGAUGGCCAGGCUGUCUCCACCCGAGACUCAGUGAAAUUGAACUCGCUGUGAAGAUGCAGUGUACCCGCGGCAAGACGGAAAGACCCCGUGAACCUUUACUAUAGCUUGACACUGAACAUUGAGCCUUGAUGUGUAGGAUAGGUGGGAGGCUUAGAAGUGUGGACGCCAGUCUGCAUGGAGCCGACCUUGAAAUACCACCCUUUAAUGUUUGAUGUUCUAACGUUGACCCGUAAUCCGGGUUGCGGACAGUGUCUGGUGGGUAGUUUGACUGGGGCGGUCUCCUCCUAAAGAGUAACGGAGGAGCACGAAGGUUGGCUAAUCCUGGUCGGACAUCAGGAGGUUAGUGCAAUGGCAUAAGCCAGCUUGACUGCGAGCGUGACGGCGCGAGCAGGUGCGAAAGCAGGUCAUAGUGAUCCGGUGGUUCUGAAUGGAAGGGCCAUCGCUCAACGGAUAAAAGGUACUCCGGGGAUAACAGGCUGAUACCGCCCAAGAGUUCAUAUCGACGGCGGUGUUUGGCACCUCGAUGUCGGCUCAUCACAUCCUGGGGCUGAAGUAGGUCCCAAGGGUAUGGCUGUUCGCCAUUUAAAGUGGUACGCGAGCUGGGUUUAGAACGUCGUGAGACAGUUCGGUCCCUAUCUGCCGUGGGCGCUGGAGAACUGAGGGGGGCUGCUCCUAGUACGAGAGGACCGGAGUGGACGCAUCACUGGUGUUCGGGUUGUCAUGCCAAUGGCACUGCCCGGUAGCUAAAUGCGGAAGAGAUAAGUGCUGAAAGCAUCUAAGCACGAAACUUGCC